GAAACAUGUAAACGAUGUUAGGACACAAUAAAUUCUUACUCUUUAGUUACCACAUUGCAUUUAUUACCAAUGCAAGUAACAGAUUUUAAGUCAAAAAUCAUGUAUAGGGACAAGACAUCAUCAACCAAAAAUGUCAUUUAAACUAGAUACACUGAUAUAAAAUCAAUAUUACAAGACUGUUGAGAUGAUUGUGUGAUUAAGUCAUUUUUGAUGCAAUCAGAAUCUCGACAUUGUAUUAAAUGCUUCAUUGAUUUUGCAGAUUUCUUCUCUGAUUGCCUCAUUUAUAGCAUCUGCCCAGUACCCAACCAUUUAACCUUCUCCCUCGUUGCUUCCCGCAGCAUCUUGAGCAACAAAAUACAUUAACAAGAAUGAAAUAAAUGAAAAAACAAAUGAAAUGAGUGAAUCUACCCAUUAUAUUUUAACAGUGGCCUCGCAGAAAACUUUUCCUAUCAUUUCUUUCUUGUACUCCACAAUUAUCUUUCAUUUAAUUUUCUUUAGAAUAAAACAGAUAUUUUCUCCAGAUGAUGGCAAACAAAGGUAACAGGGAGUGAUUUUAAAGUGUUUAUUAAAAAUUGAUUGUUUCUUUUGUCGUAACGUUAAAGGCUGCAGACACUAUGUCUUGGCCAUGAGUUAGACAGAAGGACAGCCGACUUCUUUAGUGGUAUAGCUUGGAGCAUAUUUAUCAAACAUUUGCACUACAAUACGAAAAAAACAGUCUUUCCUCACAAAUGUUCUAUCGCCUCUUUUGUCCCUUGUCUCCAUAGAACACUUUCCUCUAUGCUAACUAGCUGGGAUAACAGUCAGUUUUCCAGGCAUUGGCUGGUUCUUUUGCCGGUGUGCUGCCAAACCGCAGUAAGCUGGUGUUAUCUGUGUGAGAGGCUAAACACGGCACUUACUAUCCACUCAGGUUGCCAGUCAGACUGCCUGUCUUUCUUAGAACUGGCCAGACCUGAUUUCCAGCUAACUGUCUAGCUAGCUUAUGUUCCAACCAGCCGCCUGGAUUGCAGGGCAGGACUGGUGUCUUGGAAGUGGCCGGACGUUAUUUUUAUGUUGGCUCCUCGGAGGCUAGAGAAUAUUGAUCCGUUCCAAUUUUCGGGUUUAAGAAAUGUUUUAAUAGGCAAAGUGAUGCUGAGAUGUAGGUCAUGAGGGUGAGUCAGGGGACUAAGAUAGGAGGGUGAGUGAGGGUACUAAGAGAGGAGGGUGAGUCAGGGUACUAAGAUAGGAGGGUGAGUCAGGGUACUAAGAUUAGAGGGCAAGUCAGGAUACUAAGAUUAGAGGACGAGUCAGGGUACUAAAAUAGGAGGGUGAGCCAGGAUACUAAGAGAGGAAGGGUGAGUCAGGGUACUAAGACUAGAGGGUGAGUCAGGGUACUAAGAUAGGAGGGUGAGUCAGGGGACUAAAAUAGGAGGGUGAGUCAGGGUACUAAAAUAGGAGGGUGAGUCAGGGUACUAAAAUUAGAGGGUGAGUCAGAGGACUAAGAUAGGAGGGUGAGUCAGGGUACUAAGAUUAGAGGGUGAGUCAGGGUACUAAAAUAGGAGGGUGAGUCAGGGGACUAAAAUAGAAGGGUGAGUCAGGGGACUAAGAUUGGAGGGUGAGUCAGGGGACUAAGAUAGGAGGGUGAGUCUGGGUUCUAAGAUAAGAGGGUGAGUCAGGGGACUAAGAUAGGAGGGUGAGUCAGGGGACUAAGAUGGGAAGGUGAGUCAGGAUACUAAGAUAGGAGGGUGAGUCAGGAUACUAAGAUAGGAGGGUGAGUCAGGGUUCUAAGAUGGGAGGGUGAGUCAGGGGACUAAGAUGGGAGGGUGAGUCAGGGGACUAAGAUAAGAGGGUGAGUCAGGAUAUUAAGAUAGGAGGGUGAGUCAGGGUUAUAAGAUAAGAGGGUGAGUCAGGGGACUAAGAUAGGAGGGUGAGUCAGGGUUCUAAGAUGGGAGGGUGAGUCAGGGUUCUAAGAUAAGAGGGUGAGUCAGGGUUCUAAGAUGGGAGAUGGUUUAGAUCAAUGAUUCUCAGAGAUCUUACUUUGCAUACCACCUCACUGAAUAAAUAUCAACUAAAGGGAGCACCGCGUACCACCAGGGGUACACGUACCAUAGUUUGAGAACCAGUGGUUUAGAUGACAAGUAUGGACAUUAGGUGACAUUAGGUGACAUUAGGUGACAUUAGGUGACAUUAGGGGAGGUGCUUGGGGGAGGACAGGAAGCCUGUCUAGGAGCCCUGAUGGUCAAUGACAUUUUCUGUACGGUACUUUCGCCCUGCAUCGCAAAUCCACUGGCGCUUAUCGUAAUGACGGACUGCCAGCCGGCCAGACCAGCGCCUGUCUGUCAAUCACAGGUCUCCAUGGUGAUCCAGGGACAUUCCUCCAUGACACUCAUCAUACUGGAUACUCUGGAGAGAGAGAGAAACAGAUGAGAUGGACUCAGCGAGACAGACAUCUAAAGGUCAGCAGUCAGUCAGUACAGAAGUCACAGCUAUAUUCAUCUUCCCCGGUUUCUUCUGAUCUAGAGAUAGAGUGCACAGAGAGGCAGGCUGUGGGUUGGGAAGGACUGGCCCAGGAUGGAGCUCAGAGAGGCAGGCUGUGGGUUGGGAAGGACUGGCCCAGGAUGGAGCUCAGAGAGGCAGGCUGUGGGUUGGGAAGGACUGGCCCAGGAUGGAGCUCAGAGAGGCAGGCUGUGGGUUGGGAAGGACUGGCCCAGGAUGGAGCUCAGAGAAGCAGGCUGUGGGUUGGGAAGGACUGGCCCAGGAUGGAACUCAGAGAAGCAGGCUGUGGGUUGGGAAGGACUGGCCCAAGAUCACACGCCAUCUGGUCUCCAACCAGAUGAUAGAUACUCUGGACUUAUUUACUGCUUAUUUACAACUCAUGUACAGUCAUUCUUCCUACCAUGCUUAAAGUGAACACACACACAUGUACACACACACACACAAACGCACACACACACCACUGCCACGAUGAUGUGGAUUUGGGCAAAUAUGUGAAUUUCCCAAUCACUUGAGAGGUUAUCAGCAUAUUAACACAUGAACAGGAUUAAUCCCAUUUCACCUUCCUCUGCUAAAUAGUCUCAAAAGCUGACAACCAUCUAUUGGCCUCGAAAACAAAUAGAGUGGCGUUAUCAUAAUCAUUAAAGGCUACUUAUCCCAGCCGGCUGAGAAGACAUCCUUCACAGGGCACAAUCUCACGUCAUCUAAAUGACCCAGGAUUGUUGAUCACUUGACCUCACAAAGGUCAGAGGUCAUGGGGUCAAACAGCUAUCAGUGAGGUGCAGGGUUGCAG
ensembl:lncRNA